rnacentral:rRNA from 1 species
UUAUAAGAAGAAAGUAAGAAAGGGCGUAUGGCGGAUGCCUAGGCUCACAGAGGCGAUGAAGGACGUGAUAAGCUGCGAUAAGC